rnacentral:rRNA from 1 species
GGAGUACGGUCGCAAGAUUAAAACUCAAAGGAAUUGACGGGGACCCGCACAACCGGUGGAUGAUGUGGAUUAAUUCGAUGCAACGCGAAAAACCUUACCUACCCUUGACAUGUACGGAAUCCUGCCGAGAGGUGGGAGUGCCCGAAAGGGAGCCGUAACACAGGUGCUGCAUGCCUGUCGUCAGCUCGUGUCGUGAGAUGUUGGGUUAAGUCCCGCAACGAGCGCAACCCUUGUCCCUAGUUGCUACGCAAGAGCANUCCCAGGGAGACUGCCGGUGACAAAUCCGGAGGAAGGUGGGGAUGACGUCAAGUCCUCAUGGCCCUUAUGGGUAGGGCUUCACACGUCAUACAAUGGUCGGAACAGAGGGUUGCCAAGCCGCCGAGGUGGAGCCAAUCCCAGAAAACCGAUCGUAGUCCGGAUCGCAGUCUGCAACUCGAGCUGCGUGAAGUCUGGAACUCGCCUAGUAAUCGCGGAUCAGCAUG